GGCAAAAGGAAGCCCGAAAGAAAUGGCCUGGGCUCUGCCCCAAAGCGAAUGCUUCGGCGUGGAAAGAAAGGGAAAGCGUGACCGAGAAGAAAAGGAGGGUCUACAGAACAUCAGUUAGAAAGAGAUCCAGUCCUGGCGAAGGAUAUAUCACUUCCACGGAAAAUGAAGGUGGAAGAAAUAGCCAUCAGCCUGUGAAUAUACAAAACACCGAUACCUACAGCAACGUGAGGCUCUAACAUGAUGCGUAAGUGUCCAACAGCACCCAGCAUCUCCAAGAGCGGUGUUGAGCAGCCCUGGCCAGGCUGGAGACUGCACUCUGUUCACCCUUGCUCUUGGUUUGAAUCUGGUCUCUACUUGUGCUUCUGCUGUUCAAGUGAGGGCUUGUGAUGGUAUAAGCAGAAAUAACUUCAUUAUCUCUUCUGCCGUAGGCAAGCGCGGCUGAGUGCAAGUGUAUUCCCAUUAAGUCAUGUGCAUUAACUGUGUGCUACUUGUAGGGAACUAGGAAACUACUACACAGUCUCCAAAUUGUUGUAUUUCUUUCCUCCCAUCCUCCCCUUACUAGGAAUGGAUUAAAAGUGCAGUCUCUUUGCUUUUUCCUUUCUAAAAGGGGAAGGAAAUGGCAGCUUGAAGCUGAGAGCAAGAUUUCCCCAUAAUAUAAAACAGUACACUGCCCCUGAUGUGGAAGGAACUAUGCUGAUUUAUAUCCACAAAGACUGUGGCUCUCUAGCAUACUAAAUACCCUGUGCUAGUGCUGCACCAGGUACUCAGCUGAGGUAUACCACUGUCCAGUGCUCACAG